rnacentral:lncRNA from 1 species
GGGGUUCAGGAUUAGAUCUUGAAACUUUUUCAAGAUCAGGCAGCAGAAGACUAAAAUAAAUCAAAAUUUAUCUUAUAAAAUCAAAGAAUCUCUAGAUCUAAGAUUCUAUUAUAUAAUUAUUACAUGGCAUUAAAUCAAAAAUUAAAAUAUAAAGAGCAAGAACUACAACUUGAUCAAAUUAACAUGUUUCUAUACUACAUCUAAUGUAUGUAAAAUAUAAUAGAUCAGAUCUAUUAUCUUGCAAGUUAGACGUUCUAACUUUGCUGAUCUGGGC